rnacentral:rRNA from 1 species
AACGAACGCUGGCGGCAGGCUUAACACAUGCAAGUCGAGCGCCCCGCAAGGGGAGCGGCAGACGGGUGAGUAACGCGUGGGAAUCUACCGAGCCCUACGGAAUAACGCAUGGAAACGUGUGCUAAUACCGUAUACGCCCUACGGGGGAAAGAUUUAUCGGGGUUUGAUGAGCCCGCGUUGGAUUAGCUAGUUGGUGGGGUAAAGGCCUACCAAGGCGACGAUCCAUAGCUGGUCUGAGAGGAUGAUCAGCCACAUUGGGACUGAGACACGGCCCAAACUCCUACGGGAGGCAGCAGUGGGGAAUAUUGGACAAUGGGCGCAAGCCUGAUCCAGCCAUGCCGCGUGAGUGAUGAAGGUCUUAGGAUUGUAAAGCUCUUUCACCGGAGAAGAUAAUGACGGUAUCCGGAGAAGAAGCCCCGGCUAACUUCGUGCCAGCAGCCGCCGUAUAC